AUUGAACGCUAGCGGGCGGCUUAACACAUGCAAGUCGAACGAGUGGCGGACGGGUGAGUAAUAUAUGGGAAACUGCCUAAUGGAGGGGGAUAACUACUGGAAACGGUAGCUAAUACCGCAUACCAUCAGAUGUGCCCAUAUCGGAUUACCUUGUUGGUGGGGUAACGGCUCCCCAAGGCGACGAUCCCUAGCUGGUUUGAGAGGACGACCAGCCACACUGUGACUGAGACACGGCCCAGACUCCUACGGGAGGCAGCAGUGGGGAAUAUUGCACAAUGGGCGAAAGCCUGAUCCAGCCAUCCCGCGUGUAUGAAGAAGGCCUUCGGGUUGUAAAGUACUUUUGGCAGAGAAGCGGUAUCUGCAGAAUAAGCACCGGCUAACUACGUGCCAGCAGCCGCGGUAAUUC
rnacentral:rRNA from 1 species